rnacentral:rRNA from 1 species
GCAGUAGCCGCGGUAAUACGAAGGGGGCUAGCGUUGUUCGGAUUUACUGGGCGUAAAGCGCACGUAGGCGGAUCGAUCAGUCAGGGGUGAAAUCCCAGAGCUCAACUCUGGAACUGCCUUUGAUACUGUCGAUCUGGAGUAUGGAAGAGGUGAGUGGAAUUCCGAGUGUAGAGGUGAAAUUCGUAGAUAUUCGGAGGAACACCAGUGGCGAAGGCGGCUCACUGGUCCAUUACUGACGCUGAGGUGCGAAAGCGUGGGGAGCAAACAGGAUUAGAUACCCCAGUAGUCCCUGUCUCUUAUAC